UACGAAGGGGGCGAGCGUUGUUCGGAUUUACUGGGCGUAAAGGGCGCGCAGGCGGCUAUCCAAGUCAGGCGUGAAAGCCCCGGGCUUAACCUGGGAGGUGCGUCUGGGACUGGGUGGCUAGAGAUCGGGAGAGGAGAGUGGAAUUCCCAGUGUAGAGGUGAAAUUCGUAGAUAUUGGGAAGAACACCGGUGGUGAAGGCGGCUCUCUGGACCGAUACUGACGCUGAGGCGCGAAAGCGUGGGGAGCAAACAGG
rnacentral:rRNA from 1 species